ensembl:lncRNA
AUCGGAUUUCGGGAAAGCAAAAAUCAAAGAAGUUGCCACAGGAGACUGGGACACUUAAUCAAGUUAUCCACCUGGUAAUCUGCCUCGUGUGUUUCCUGAGGGUGAAGACCUACGCCUGUUCAUAUAUAGAUAUCGCUAGCAGCACCAUCUGCUUGGCACACAAAAGUGUUAUAUGAAAUAAUUUCCUACAAUUAAAGGCAUCUUAAAUUCAAUGAGUCAAGAAACAAUUACAGUGUACCAUGAUAAGUUAAAAAACCUGAGGGUAAUGCUGGGCAGAUAGCAGUGAAUGAUACCUGAUGCCCCCGCUUUCAAGAAGCUUGGAAUCUAUUGGGGAUUCACAAUGAAAUAAACUAUUAGG